rnacentral:rRNA from 1 species
UACGGAGGGUGCAAGCGUUAAUCGGAAUUACUGGCGUAAAGCGUGCGUAGGCGGUUCGUUAAGUCUGUUGUGAAAGCCCCGGGCUCAACCUGGGAUGGCAAUGGAUACUGGCGAGCUAGAGUGUGUCAGAGGAUGGUGGAAUUCCCGGUGUAGCGGUGAAAUGCGUAGAGAUCGGGAGGAACAUCGAGUGGCGAAGGCGAGUCCCUGGACAACUCUGACGCUGAGGCACGAAAGCUAGGGGAGCAAACAGG